CCUACGGGGGGCUGCAGUGGGGAAUAUUGGACAAUGGGGGGAACCCUGAUCCAGCCAUGCCGCGUGUGUGAAGAAGGCCCUCGGGUUGUAAAGCACUUUCAGUGAGGAAGAACGCCUGGUGGUUAAUACCCAUCAGGAAAGACAUCACUCACAGAAGAAGCACCGGCUAACUCCGUGCCAGCAGCCGCGGUAAUACGGAGGGUGCGAGCGUUAAUCGGAAUUACUGGGCGUAAAGCGCGCGUAGGUGGCUUGAUAAGCCGGUUGUGAAAGCCCCGGGCUCAACCUGGGAACGGCAUCCGGAACUGUCAAGCUAGAGUGCAGGAGAGGAAGGUAGAAUUCCCGGUGUAGCGGUGAAAUGCGUAGAGAUCGGGAGGAAUACCAGUGGCGAAGGCGGCCUUCUGGACCGACACUGACACUGAGGUGCGAAAGCGUGGGUAGCAAACAGGAUUAGAUACCCCUGUAGUC
rnacentral:rRNA from 1 species